CGAAGCACAAGCGGUGCUCACGUAAUGAUAAUUAGUAUAUAGUGGCUGGUAUGCCGAAGUGCAAGCGGUGCUCACACUGGGUUGUGAAUGGUAUGCCGAAGCACAAGCGGUACCCACUAUACUAUUUAUCUGAUAAAGAAUUCUGAGGAACAAUGAACAUACAGUGUAGCCGACCAAAAAUUCACCUAGCAACGUUGCAGCGUAGCAGACCAGCGUCAGACCAGCAUUAAGUACAUCAAUAAGAACAGCCGGAAUAUGGUUUACUAAUUACUUAUAGUCUCUUUGAGUUUUGUUUUAAUUAUGAUUGCUAAGUGCAUUUAAUAUCACCGCAUAGAUAUAAUAACUUUAUUAAUUUUGCUAAUUCAUUCAGUUUGUUAACAUAAAUUUAGAACUUGUUAGUUAGCGUUCGAAUGGCCGACAGGGAAUGGGGACAUUCCCAAUAACAGGACGGCCGACUGUUAGCGUUUAAAUUUACCAAUGCUAUUCUUUACUAAUAUCAAGCUACUUAUUUCAUCAUAGGUCCGGCCGGAUUACUAGAUGUAGCUAGGAGUUGUUCUUUAGUUCAUUUAGUUUCUAUAUUGUCUGUGAUUCGCAUUGACUGGCCGGUCACUGGAUUCAUGCGGAUUCAUUCAAUUCAAGAUGGCAGAAAAAACAAGAAUAACUUUUAAAAGACUUCUGUUUGUUAUUAGAUUCCUUUUUGAAUAGUUUGUGUUCCUUAUAAAAGUAUUUUACUUCAAA